GUGGGGAAUAUUGGACAAUGGGCGCAAGCCUGAUCCAGCCAUGCCGCGUGAGUGAUGAAGGCCUUAGGGUUGUAAAGCUCUUUUGUCCGGGAAGAUAAUGACUGUACCGGAAGAAUAAGCCCCGGCUAACUUCGUGCCAGCAGCCGCGGUAAUACGAAGGGGGCUAGCGUUGUUCGGAAUCACUGGGCGUAAAGCGCACGUAGGCGGACCAUUAAGUCAGGGGUGAAAGCCUGGAGCUCAACUCCAGAACUGCCUUUGAUACUGAUGGUCUCGAGUAUGGAAGAGGUGGGUGGAACUGCGAGUGUAGAGGUGAAAUUCGUAGAUAUUCGCAAGAACACCGGUGGCGAAGGCGGCCAACUGGGCCAUUACUGACGCUGAGGUGCGAAAGCGUGGGGAGCAAACAGGAUUAGAAACCCUAGUAGUCC
rnacentral:rRNA from 1 species